rnacentral:RNase_P_RNA from 1 species
GGAGUCGGCCAGACAGUCGCGGCACCCUUGCGGUGUCGAGGAAAGUCCGGGCUCCACAGGGUGCGAUGCCAGGUAACGCCUGGGCGGCGCGAGCCGACGGAAAGUGCAACAGAAAGAUACCGCCACGCCUUCGGGCGCGGUAAGGGUGAAAUGGUGCGGUAAGAGCGCACCGCGAGUGGGGCAACCCACCGGCACGGCAAACCCCAUCGGGAGCAAGACCAAAUAGGGUGUCAUGGCGUGACCCGCGUCGGCACCGGGUAGGUUGCUGGAGCCUGCCAGUGAUGGCAGGCCAAGAAGAAUGACUGUCCACGACAGAACCCGGCUUAUCGGCCGGCUCCGCCA